rnacentral:rRNA from 1 species
GACGAACGCUGGCGGCGUGCCUAAUACAUGCAAGUUGAGCGCUGAAGGUUGGUACUUGUACCAACUGGAUGAGCAGCGAACGGGUGAGUAACGCGUGGGGAAUCUGCCUUUGAGCGGGGGACAACAUUUGGAAACGAAUGCUAAUACCGCAUAAAAACUUUAAACACAAGUUUUAAGUUUGAAAGAUGCAAUUGCAUCACUCAAAGAUGAUCCCGCGUUGUAUUAGCUAGUUGGUGAGGUAAAGGCUCACCAAGGCGAUGAUACAUAGCCGACCUGAGAGGGUGAUCGGCCACAUUGGGACUGAGACACGGCCCAAACUCCUACGGGAGGCGGCAGUAGGGAAUCUUCGGCAAUGGACGAAAGUCUGACCGAGCAACGCCGCGUGAGUGAAGAAGGUUUUCGGAUCGUAAAACUCUGUUGGUAGAGAAUAACGUUGGUGAGAGUGGAAAGCUCAUCAAGUGACGGUAACUACCCAGAAAGGGACGGCUAACUACGUG